UGGAGUAGUGGGACAUAGGUAUGAAAACUUACAAGACAAAAAUCUUGGAAACCACAUGUAAUGUAAUAUAUUGUAGGGCAUAUGAAACAAACAAACCAACUGUCUAAUCCUAAUUUGAUUCUCUCCAUCCACCAACCCUACUCAACCCAACCCUAAGCUUAUACACCUAAAAUUUAAAUUUUUAAGAGUAGGAGGAGAAGGUUCUGUUCCUAAAGGUACUAGUAGACCAUAACAUUGCAUGUGUGACCUAGCUAAACCCUGUAAAAUGCAGGUAUGUGUAAAACUUAGUAAUAAUCCUUUACCUAUAUACGUACAAACAAUUUUACUGAUCUUGGUCGCUUUCUUAGGCUUUGAUUCCCCGACAAGCUUUGGUGUUUUAUUUUAUCCAUAUUGUACAAUCUGUCACACACAAUUCUAACUUUUCAAACUAUAUACAUAAUACACUCGACCUUGCCAAAAAUUCGACCUAAUUCCAUUGUACAGCAAAGCACAUUCAAUCGCCCUCUCAAUUUUAAAAAUAGCAACCUAAUACAUGUAGGGUUAAUUAUGUUUUUAUCCCUAUAAAUAUGUCAACUUUUUGUUUUAGUCUCUUUAAAAUUUUCCUUCAACUUU
rnacentral:lncRNA from 1 species